GCUCUUCUGCAGCACAAAUACUAAAAUUGGAACAAUACAGAGACUAUUAGCAUGGCCCCUGUGAAAAGAUGACAUGCAAAUUCAUGAAGUGUUCCAUAUUUUC
ensembl:snRNA LOC120097308 U6 spliceosomal RNA